rnacentral:rRNA from 1 species
UACGUAGGGCGCAAGCGUUGUCCGGAAUUAUUGGGCGUAAAGAGCUCGUAGGUGGUUUGUCGCGUCUGCCGUGAAAGCCCGGGGCUUAACUCCGGGUCUGCGGUGGAUACGGGCAGACUAGAGGCAGGUAGGGGAGAACGGAAUUCCCGGUGUAGUGGUGAAAUGCGUAGAUAUCGGGAGGAACACCAGUGGCGAAGGCGACUACCUGGCCUGUUUCUUGACGCUGAGGCGCGAAAGCUAGGGGAGCAAACGGG